rnacentral:rRNA from 1 species
UACGGAGGGUGCAAGCGUUAUCCGGAUUCACUGGGUUUAAAGGGUGCGUAGGAGGGCAGGUAAGUCAGUGGUGAAAUCCUGGGGCUUAACCCCAGACUGCCGUUGAUACUAUCGGUCUUGAAUGUCGUGGAGGUGAGCGGAAUAUGUCAUGUAGCGGUGAAAUGCGCAGAUAUCAGGAGGAACACCGGUGGCGAAGGCGGAUCUCUGGGCCAUUACUGACGUGAGGAGCGAAAAGCGU